AGGAGGAACAAACCCAGUGGCUGCGGCAGCUCUGGAAACCUGGAUUCAGCUCCCACAGUAACUACAGAGCUCUCAGCCUACAGGGCCUGAAUGCUCUGUGGCAGG
rnacentral:pre_miRNA from 1 species